CCUACGGGAGACUGCAGUGGGGAAUAUUGCACAAUGGGGGGAACCCUGAUGCAGCGACGCCGCGUGCGUGAAGAAGUAUUUCGGUUUGUAAAGUUCUAUCAGCAGGGAAGAAAAUGACGGUACCUGACUAAUAAGCGACGGCUAACUACGUGUCAGCAGCCGCUGUAAUACGUAGGGGGCACGCGUUAUCCGGAUUUACUGGGUGUAAAGGGAGCGGAGACUGUUAUGCAAGUCUGAAGCGAAAGCCCAAGGCUCAACCCUGGGACUGCUUUGGAAACUAUAAAACUAGAGGUAAGGAGUGGUAAGCGGAAUUCCUAGUGAAGCGGUGAAAUGCGUAGAUAUUAGGAGGAACACCAGUGGCGAAGGCGGCUUACUGGACUGUAACUGACGUUGAGGCUCGAAGGCGUGGGGAGCAAACAGGAUUAGAUACCCGGGUAGUC
rnacentral:rRNA from 1 species